rnacentral:rRNA from 1 species
UACAGAGGUGGCAAGCGUUGUUCGGAAUUACUGGGCGUAAAGGGCGCGUAGGUGGCCUUCUUAGUCAGACGUGAAAUCCCCGGGCUUAACUCGGGAACUGCGUCUGAUACUGGAAGGCUGGAGUUCGGGAGAGGAAUGUGGAAUUCCAGGUGUAGCGGUGAAAUGCGCAGAUAUCAGGAGGAACACCGAUGGCGAAGGCGCUGCGUGGGACGGUACUGACGCUGGAGAACGCGGAAAGCGUGGGGAGUCAAACAGG